GGGAGCAAGAUGGCUGCCACCUAGCCCGUGCUGUUCGUUGUUGAGCCAGCGUGGGGGCUCCAUUGAGGCGAACCGGUCGGGUCUCUUGUGGUUCUGCUCCUCCAGCCUGUGAGCAGCGCCCGCGACCUAAGGGCUUUGCUGGGCCUAGCGCUGCCCAGAACCCGUUCCCCUCUGACCGUGGUCUCGGAGAGUUGGUGAGAUGUGUUACUGUGACCUCGGACAGCAUUCCAGACUCUCAUGCCCAUUCAUUCCGUAAACUCCGCAGUCCUGGCCCCUUAGAGGAAGGAGUUCACAGAAUAGCUGGGGAAUUAUGGAAACAUCCUUACCGCAGGAGCUGUGACUUAUAGAAGAGAGUCAAACUGGAAGCAAUGAAGGUAUCACGGUAACCAGAGGCUAGAUGUAGGUCUGAAACGGAAUGGGGGAGGAGAGUACCUCACAGGUCAUUUUGUAUACCUGAAAGACGAGGGACUCCUCCUUCCCCUCCCUGCUGCUGUCUUGCUAAGUGUGGCACCAGCUUGUACCAAGAGUGCGGAGAGCAUUGCUACGUUGCAGGGGGGCUGGCAGAGGAGGUGGACGACAAAGUUCUUCAUGCUGCUUUUGUUCCUUUUGGAGACGUCACAGAUACUUAGUUUCUUCUGGUGAAACAGAAUUCUGAGCUCAGAUCCGAAGAUCAUGCCAGCGCAGAACUUCCUGUUGGUGUUGACAGAAAAGAAGUGUGUGGUGGCUUAGGGAGUUCGUGGUUAGCUGUGUGCUUAGCUUGCCAUUGGGGGCUGUGGGCUCCCAGCAUAGACUUCUUGGAAGCAAAUGGAAUCUUUUUUUUUUUAAACCUAAACAAGGUUGAAGCAGCUGAGUUGUAUUGCAGUUGUUUUCAGAGUGAAUUGAAUUCUUCGGACAGACCAUUUGUGUCCAUUUAGCCAACCUGGUGAGAAUUAAGGAAGGCUCAUCUUUGGCCUCUGCUGCUUUUUAUCCUGGCCUCACUUCCUGGGCGGCGGCGUAGAGAGCUGUACGGUAGAGGAGAGAACGCGGUGCCUCUGUGGGAACAGAGUGGGGAUUCUCUGCGAAGCUAGAGCCACUGUCUCCGUGAAAGUCUUGCUCUGGGAUGUGGACACAGACUGCGCCCUUCCAGCCUUGACAGUGGCUGGGCCUUCCCUGUUGGCUCGGCUCAGUCCUCCUCUGUCUCAUCUGCCCCUGCCUCUGUGGAGAGCGGAACCUGAAGGCCUGACAUUUCCAGUGACAGCUUCCCUGUCCUAAGAGGUAACUUCUGCCAGUGAGAGCCCCACGGGGCAUCCGCUCUGCUGACAAGGCAGCGAAGAACUGGGCACAGCUAGGGAGCAGUUGGCCGACAGCUUGAAUGUCUUAGCACGUGUUCCAUUAUUUUCCUUUCGGCGUGGGCAGAUGAUGACUGGCUGAAGAAGUUUUCUGGGAAGACUCUUGAAGAGAAUAAGGAGGAAUAAGGGUCGGAGCCCCCCAAAGUGGAAACCCAGGAGGGCGAGCCCGUGGCAAAGAAGGCCCGGUCCAACCCUCAGGUGUACAUGGACAUCAAGAUCGGCAACAAGCCGGCCGGCCGCAUCCAGAUGCUGCUGCAUGCCGACGUUGUUGCCAUGACAGCAGAUACAUCCCCCCCCCCACUGUGCCAGUAGAGAGGAGGUUGACGUCAUGCCUCUGGACCCCCACAUAGCUGAGUGUCUAUUUCCUAAGAACAAGAACGUUCCCUUGUGAGAUCACGGCGCGACCCUCAGAAGCAGGAACUGGAGCGUCCGUGCGCUGUUUACUCGUCUUCAGGCUGCGUUCAGAUUUCCUCACCUUCCCCGGGAUGGUCCUUUCCAGUAACCAUAGCGGUUGUCCUUCCCUGGCAGGGACUCAUGCUGCACGACAGGGUCGCGUCUCUUUGGUCUCCCUCUGUUCGGAGCAGGGUCUUUGUUUCUCAGUGUCUUCCUUGAUCUCCGUGACUCUGAGGAUCGCAGGCCCGUUUUUACGAUGGUUUCUGAGUUUGCCUGGCGCUUGUCGGCGUGACGCGGCGGGAGCGCCUCACAGGGGCGUCUUGGAGGAUGUGCGUCAUGACGUCACUUCUUUGGCCACUUGCUCAAGGAGACGGCUGCCAGCUUUCUCCACUGGAAAGGGGCUAUUUGUAUGGCGAUACAUUAAAAGCUAACAUUUUUUUCUCCUUUCGGCCUCCAGCGCAUCUGAGGUGACUGCUAUCACAGGUGUUGUGGGUUUCCUAUUUUCCUAAAUAUUCUUAAUGACAGUUUUUACCCAUAAUCCUUUUUUUUGUUUAAAUCUAGCCUUUUAAAAAAUGUUUAGUGAAGUCAUCAUUGCACGUAGUUUAGAGAAAAUUUUCCUGUAAAAUUUGUUAGACCGUGAUGUUCUCCCCCCACAUCGUCAUCUUUCUGCCCGCCAAAGGCAACCUUCAUUUUUUCAAGGGUUAAUUUUGGCUUCUAUUGCUCUGUCUCUGAAACACAUACUCAAGUUACUGCUACUUGAUUUUUUUUUUUCUUUUUCAGUUUUUGGCUGUUUUAGGUCAGACUUUUUGGGAAACAGACUCCUGGAGGAUUGCAUGCAGAAAGCUUAUCAGGGAGGGAUCUCAGGGACAACUGCAAGGCCGUGGGAGCAGAUUGGGGAGAGAGCGAAACAGCCACCGUGCAGUCACACCAGGGCUUAGCUCGUCCCAGGGGGCCCUGGAGCUUCGAUAGCCCUUCUGACUGGUUCUGAGUUGAGGCUUGGAGGCCAGGCCUCUGAACCCCCCCCCCCACCGCAAUCAUGAAUUCUGAAUGAUUCCCAGGAGGGGUGGGCAGCUCCAUUCCGCUGAGGGCAUUUCCUGGGACGGAACUUCUCUCGGGGCUGGUAGCUCUCGUGCUCCUGAGAGGUGAGAGAGUGAGCAUGUUGGUCUUGAAGGAGAUCUCAGUGGCUUCCCCAGGCGUCCCUUGCAGUCCACCUCGCCCACCACUUAGAUUCUCCUUGGCCACUGUGCCUCAGUCUCCUGUGUCCUCCCGCCGACCUCUCAGGUGUGUCGGGACCCAGAGCUCAACCCUUGCUUUGCUUCUCUUCCCUCGCUCUUCCCUUCGUGGUUUCUUAACCUCUUAGCCCAGUGCCCGCCUCUUAGACCUGAUUCUUUUCUAGGCAGAAAUGAAGGUCCCAGCUCAUAGAUCCUUCCAACACACAGUUUUUUGUUCUGUUUUGUUUUUAAAGAUUUUAUUUAUUUAUUUGACAGAGAGAGACAGCCAGCGAGAGAAGGAACACAAGCAGGGGGAGUGGGAGAGGAAGAAGCAGGCUCUUAGCAGAGGA